rnacentral:lncRNA from 1 species
UUUUUGUUGGUUGCUUUUGUGUGCUUUUAACUCACAUCAAAUUCGCGUUUUUAUUAGUUUUGCUCACUCCAAACCUCCGACACACUCGACACGCGCCACACAGCGCCACAAGUAGCGACAAAAAAAUCAACUUAUUCGAUAUGCAAACACACACAGACACACAUAGAGACACACAUAGAGACACAUAAAUAGAUGUGUAAACCGUACAUCAAAUAUCUAACUAUAAAUUACAUUUGUGCUCUGCCAACUGGUGUCCAAUCCCUUGAUAAUUGUAUGCUUAAGCUACAAAAAAACGUCGCAAGGUCCACCCAGCCAGCGGAUGCAGAAAACAACAAUCAGGAGCUGGCAGGAGCUGGACUCCCUUCCUGGCGCUGCACUUGCGAUUGAUAUAUAUAUACUGGAACUUACAGCAAGUAACUAUUUCGUGUACAUUUUGCAUUUGAUUUAACGUUCAAUAGAUUUAACUUUGCAUAUAAUAUUUCAAGUGUGUGUCCUUUAGCUAUCAAUUGUGUAAGUCCC